AUGGCGCGGUCGUCGUCUCCUCUCGUCAACAAGGCUUCGCCCACCGAGCAGCCCCGCCUGCUCUGCACUCGCCGUUCUUCAAAGCGUGUCACCGCUUUGAGCCCGGAGGCGCUCCUUGAUGCCACCCUUGCCGGCGUCGAGCAGCAGGAUGACGCCGGUGUCAUCGCUGCCGCCACGGCUCUGAAGCGAGAUGCUACUCUCUCAGAUGAGACCCUGGCGGUUCACGCUGGGGAGAAGAUGGGGAAGAACGGAGCCAUGGACACAGACUCGAUCGCGACACCUAUUGUGAGCGGCACGACACACUGGUUCAAGAGCUCGGGCGACCUCGUCGCAUUCAAGGAAGGCCGGCGCCACAGCUUCGAGUACGGCCGCUACGGCAACCCCACUGUGAAGGUCCUAGAGGACAAGAUCAGUGCCCUGGAGAGGGCCGAGGGGACGCUUGUCACGUCCUCAGGCAUGAACGCCAUCGUCGCCACACUGCUCGCGCUCGUACCGCCCGGCGCCGGCCACGUGGUGACCACGACCGAGUGCUACAGCGAGGCACGCGCCUUCAUCCGCGACAAGCUCUCUAAGAUGGGCAUCAAGGUGACAUUCGUCGAGCUGAACGACAUGGAGACACUCAAGGCCGUUCUUGACCAGGGCGACGUGACACUCUUCUAUACCGACUGUCCGACGAACCCCCAUCUCAAGUGCAUCGACAUUAAGCUCGUCGCCGAUCUGUGCCACCGGAGAGGGGCUCUGGUGUGCAUUGACAGCACACUCGCCUCGCCCAUCAACCAGAAGCCACUCACCCUCGGGGCUGACAUCGUCGUGCACUCCGCCACAAAGUACAUCGCAGGACAUCAUGACGUCAUCGCAGGAUGCAUCAGUGGCUCUGAGGCGCUCAUCUCCAGAAUACGCGCGUGGCAUCACGACCUUGGCGGCGCCAUUAGUCCGGACGCAGCCUACAUGAUCAUACGCGGCCUUAAGACGAUGGCACUACGCGUGGAGACACAAAACCAAACUUCAUUGCGCAUGGCGCGCCUGCUCGAGAACCAUCCCAAGAUCGAGCGAGUGUACUACCCUGGUCUCCUAAGCAGCCCGUGGCACGACAUUGCCAAGAGCCAGAUGACUGGUUUUGGAGGAGUCAUCAGCUUCGAGGUAGCCUCAGACCUGCAUGGUGUCAUGAGGUUCGUCGACGCCCUCGAGAUACCCUUCAUCGCGACGUCCCUCGGCGGGUGCGAAAGCCUCGUGCAGCAGCCGGCAGUCAUGUCCUUCUGGGGUCAGAGUGACGAGGAAAAGGCGAAGAAUGGGAUCAAGGACAACUUGGUGCGGUUCAGCUUCGGGAUUGAGAAGUUUGAGGAUCUUAGGGAUGACAUUAUCCAAGCCCUGGAGAAGAUUUAG
rnacentral:rRNA from 1 species